ensembl:lncRNA
GCUGGAGGUUUAAACUGUUCUCAUCUAGCGUUUCCUUAAGUGCUGGUGUAUGAAAAAAACAUCUUCCAUUGUUUUAUCUUAAACAAACUUGGGUUUCUUGACAGUUGUUUUUAGGUUUUCUUUUUUCUUUCUUUUAUUUUUUUAUUUUUUAAUUUUUUUUAAUGAACAGAGGUUAUUUUUUUUCUCUGCUUUAAAAAAAAUAAAACCCAAAACAACCACAACAGAACAGUUGGAGAGAAUAAAGAUCCAAACAGCAGCACUGGAAAAUACAUAUAUUUUCCUUUUUUAUCUUUCUGAGUUGCAGGCUAUGUCACAUUCAGAUCCUGCGCUUUCUGUGUCCUAAGUGGAUUUGCAUUACAUGAUACUAUGUUGCUAGGAGCAGACCCAUUCAAGACAAUAUCAAACUUAGGAUCCAAGCAGGUUGGUUUUGAUAUCCAAAAAGUUUCUGUCCCCACAGUUGUGUCUAUUGCAUCUCUUCUAUGGUUUGUCUAAAUCAAAGCUGUGCAGUGACCCUGCUUUUAAUCCUUACAGCUUCUUCCAAAGUGCUGACACUCGAGCAGACAGGGCACGGCUGAGGCUUGUGACUCAGAGCACUGCUUUCCAUGCACGGAAGCUGAGCUGCUCACAGGGAAGUCAUCAUUCCCAUCAGAUUGAAGUUGCUCCACUGAAAGCACAGCUUUGGACUUCAUAUGCCCCCAUGUGAAGCAGGCUCCAUAGCAACUCUAUGCCAAGAGGAGCAGAGUUUCUCUCAGAAUCUCCAGCCUCGAUCAUGUGCAUACAUGAUGAAAUAUUAUUAACCCUUUUUUUCACUUGGAGUAAAACCCUAAUGUGUGCAAUGAAAAAUUAUCUAGAAGCACAUUCAGUUUGAUCUACUACAAAAUUACAUUUCAAAUUAAAUUCUUAUGGAAUUGCGAACCUGAACACAAGAAAAUCUGGUGCAAGAUGUGCAAGAUUGUGUGCUGCUAUAGAUGCAAGGCUGCAGACAGAGCACCAUGAUCAGUUGGUAGGAUGUUGUGCACUAAUUACAGACAAAAUAGGAUAGCCUCCCAAACCAGAGGCUUACGCUGAGCUGCAGGAUUGUGUGACUGUGCUGUGCUCUACUAUUCAUCUUACGCUGUCUUUAGACAAGAAGUUGCCUCUGGGCCUUCAAUGCCCUAAGCUAUUCAGUGAAAGCAAAACACAGGGGAGAAAGACAAGAGAACACAGCACAAGUAGCACAGACUUUGAGAUGUCAAAAUACCAAGAUAGUUAAACAAAAGUAUACAGUUGGAGACAGAAAGCAGGCAGGUUAAAGGUCUGAUUCUUAUCUUUCAUAAUACUACAUAUAUUACUUCUGCGUAUUUUGAACCUGUCUGUUCUUAUCACAAACAAGUUUACAAAAUUUGGGAUGUUCUUGCCCAUGUUUUGGAGAGCAAAUUUGAACACUAAUGAAACAGAAAAGUGAUGGUGAUGUAGGAGUUUACUUUAUUCAUAUCCACUGAAGGUUUACAGCUUUUGAUUGGUCAGAGAAUGCAGUUAAAACUGUUAAACAUUUUCUCUCUCUGAAUUUAGUAGAAAAAUUGAGCAAUGAGCAUUACUUCAAACUGUGGUCAGAACUCACAGAAGGCCUUUUAAAAAAUGUAAGUGCUGUCAGAAACUUGUCACAGAAGAGCUCCUGCAGUGAAAGCCUUAACAGCUACAAAACAUACCAUAAGCAGUUAUUA